UAAGGAAUAUUGGGCAAUGGACGCAAGUCUGACCCAGCCAUGCCGCGUGAAGGAUGAAGGCCCUAUGGGUUGUAAACUUCUUUUAUACGGGAAAAAACCACCGGUCGUGUAUCGGUGCUGAUGGUACCGUAAGAAUAAGCAUCGGCUAACUCCGUGCCAGCAGCCGCGGUAAUACGGAGGAUGCAAGCGUUAUCCGGAUUCAUUGGGUUUAAAGGGUGCGCAGGCGGAUUAAUAAGUCAGUGGUGAAAUCCUACGGCUCAACUGUAGAACUGCCAUUGAUACUGUUAGUCUUGAGUAUUGUUGAGGUAGGCGGAAUGUGUCAUGUAGCGGUGAAAUGCUUAGAUAUGACACAGAACACCAAUCGCGAAGGCAGCUUACCAAGCAAUAACUGACGCUCAUG
rnacentral:rRNA from 1 species